rnacentral:rRNA from 1 species
CUACGGGGCGCACCAGUAGGGAAUAUUGGGCAAUGGGCGCAAGCCUGACCCAGCAACGCCGCGUGCGCGAAGAAGGCCUUCGGAUCGUAAGGCGCUUUUCUGAGGGAUGAGAAAGGACAGUACCUCAGGAAUAAGCCUCGGCUAACUACGUGCCAGCAGCCGCGGUAAAACGUAGGAGGCGAGCGUUAUCGGGAUUUACUGGGCGUAAGCGUGUGCAGGCGGUCUGGCAAGUUGGAUGUGAAAGCUCCCGGCUCAACUGGGAGAGGUCGUUCAAAACUACCGGACUAGAGUGUAUCAGAGGGGGAUGGAAUUCCCGGUGUAGUGGUGAAAUGCGUAGAUAUCGGGAAGAACACCAGUGGCGAAAGCGAUCUUCUGGAAUACUACUGACGCUCAGACACGAAAGCUAAGGUAGCGAACGGGAUUAGAUACCCCUGUAGUC